rnacentral:rRNA from 1 species
CCUAGUACGAGAGGACCGGAGUGGACGUACCGCUGGUGUACCUGUUGUCUCGCCAGAGGCAUCGCAGGGUAGCUAUGUACGGAAGAGAUAACCGCUGAAAGCAUCUAAGCGGGAAACUUGCCUGAAGAUGAGGAUUCCCUGGAGACUUGAUCUCCCUGAAGGGUCGUUCGAGACCAGGACGUUGAUAGGCUGGGUGUGGAAGCGCAGUAAUGCGUUCAGCUAACCAGUACUAAUU